rnacentral:rRNA from 1 species
CCUACGGGCGGCAGCAGUGAGGAAUAUUGGUCAAUGGACGAGAGUCUGAACCAGCCAAGUAGCGUGAAGGAUGACUGCCCUAUGGGUUGUAAACUUCUUUUAUAUGGGAAUAAAAUGUUCCACGUGUGGGAUUUUGUAUGUACUAUAUGAAUAAGGAUCGGCUAACUCCGUGCCAGCAGCCGCGGUAAUACGGAGGAUCCGAGCGUUAUCCGGAUUUAUUGGGUUUAAAGGGAGCGUAGGUGGAUUGUUAAGUCAGUUGUGAAAGUUUGCGGCUCAACCGUAAAAUUGCAGUUGAAACUGGCAGUCUUGAGUACAGUAGAGGUGGGCGGAAUUCGUGGUGUAGCGGUGAAAUGCUUAGAUAUCACGAAGAACUCCGAUUGCGAAGGCAGUUCACUGGACUGCAACUGACACUGAGGCUCGAAAGUGUGGGUAUCAAACAGGAUUAGAUACCCUAGUAGUC